CGUCAACUGAACAUGGCGGUAGGAGUGUGCGUAGUUCCUGCAAUACUGUAGCCAUAUUAUGAAGAAAUAUUAUGCAAGCACACGUGGGUGAGGAAGGUGAGGUGUCAGUGCCUGAGUGUGUGCUGGAAAUAGAUGCGCAGUGCUUGGAAAUAUGGGCACCGUUUAUCAAGUGGCUUGUGAUGUGUGUCGUGCUGGCAUUACGGAGCGCACGUGAGCUUCUUCAGUGGUGUCUGAAAAGGAGAGACGUGAUCCUCGUGCUGUAUUAGUCGUGGUGGUGAUGACUCCAGCUCCGCGUCCCUGCAUCACUGACACUCAUGCUUGUCACUUGGCGUCCUGCUACAAGUCGUAAGAAUGCCUUAGAGAGCCUUUCGUCACGGGCCUGAGUUGGGUUCCCGCCUCAGUAUGCAACAGUAACCGCGGCGCAGGUCCCCCUCCGUCAUAGAUCACGCCCUUCAGCACGCCCCCGGGACUUUUGGUAAGAGUGGCACCCUUUUUUUUCCACCUUUUAUUUCUCGUGUCUUCGCCUUCCCCCUUUUUUUUCCAGCUUGGGUUUUUUUUUUUUUUUUCCUCUCUAGGUCUGAUUUCGGUGAG